GAUGAACGCUGGCGGCGUGCCUAAUACAUGCAAGUCGAGCGAACAGACGAGGAGCUUGCUCCUUUGACGUUAGCGGCGGACGGGUGAGUAACACGUGGGUAACCUACCUAUAAGACUGGGAUAACUUCGGGAAACCGGAGCUAAUACCGGAUAAUAUUUCGAACCGCAUGGUUCGAUAGUGAAGGAUGGCUUUGCUAUCACUUAUAGAUGGACCUGCGCCGUAUUAGCUAGUUGGUAAGGUAACGGCUUACCAAGGCAACGAUACGUAGCCGACCUGAGAGGGUGAUCGGCCACACUGGAACUGAGACACGGUCCAGACUCCUACGGGAGGCAGCAGUAGGGAAUCUUCCGCAAUGGGCGAAAGCCUGACGGAGCAACGCCGCGUGAGUGAUGAAGGUCUUCGGAUCGUAAAACUCUGUUAUUAGGGAAGAACAAACGUGUAAGUAACUGUGCACGUCUUGACGGUACCUAAUCAGAAAGCCACGGCUAACUACGUGCCAGCAGCCGCGGUAAUACGUAGGUGGCAAGCGUUAUCCGGAAUUAUUGGGCGUAAAGCGCGCGUAGGCGGUUUUUUAAGUCUGAUGUGAAAGCCCACGGCUCAACCGUGGAGGGUCAUUGGAAACUGGAAAACUUGAGUGCAGAAGAGGAAAGUGGAAUUCCAUGUGUAGCGGUGAAAUGCGCAGAGAUAUGGAGGAACACCAGUGGCGAAGGCGACUUUCUGGUCUGUAACUGACGCUGAUGUGCGAAAGCGUGGGGAUCAAACAGGAUUAGAUACCCUGGUAGUCCACGCCGUAAACGAUGAGUGCUAAGUGUUAGGGGGUUUCCGCCCCUUAGUGCUGCAGCUAACGCAUUAAGCACUCCGCCUGGGGAGUACGACCGCAAGGUUGAAACUCAAAGGAAUUGACGGGGACCCGCACAAGCGGUGGAGCAUGUGGUUUAAUUCGGAGCAACGCGAAGAACCUUACCAAAUCUUGGCAUCCUUUGACCCUUCUAGAGAUAGAAGUUUCCCCUUCGGGGGACAAAGUGACAGGUGGUGCAUGGUUGUCGUCAGCUCGUGUCGUGAGAUGUUGGGUUAAGUCCCGCAACGAGCGCAACCCUUAAGCUUAGUUGCCAUCAUUAAGUUGGGCACUCUAAGUUGACUGCCGGUGACAAACCGGAGGAAGGUGGGGAUGACGUCAAAUCAUCAUGCCCCUUAUGAUUUGGGCUACACACGUGCUACAAUGGACAAUACAAAGGGCAGCGAAACCGCGAGGUCAAGCAAAUCCCAUAAAGUUGUUCUCAGUUCGGAUUGUAGUCUGCAACUCGACUACAUGAAGCUGGAAUCGCUAGUAAUCGUAGAUCAGCAUGCUACGGUGAAUACGUUCCCGGGUCU
rnacentral:rRNA from 1 species